GGGGACAUCGUUCAGUGGUAGAGCACGUGCUUUGCAUGUAUGAGGCCCAGGUUCGAGCCCCAGCAUCUCCA
rnacentral:tRNA from 1 species